rnacentral:tRNA from 1 species
GCCCGAGUGGUGGAAUUGGUAGACACACAGGACUUAAAAUCCUGCGAUCUCAACAAUCGUACCGAUUCAAGUCCGGUCUCGGGCA